AACCUGGAAGUGGGACCAGCGGGAGGGAGUCAGUCAGCAGACCCCGCCUCACACGAGGUCCCCGCUGCCCGUCCUAAUCUUCUAGCCUGUGAACCAACAGAAUAGUGGUGGUGCAGCACCACUUAAGACCGUGCUAAAAAUGCACUUGACGCAGCUGCAGGGAGAACACAGCCAACGUCGCAGAACGUCCCCUAACAGCCUCCUGUCUGGUGCUCAGCUGUAAACUUCCCAUUGGUUGGCUGUUCCCACCUGGGACGACCACUUGACUUGUUCUUGACUUUUAUGAAGGAACCACUGUCUCCCCUGAAGCAUCUACUCAAACGCAAAAGGAGGUAUUAGGCAGGGCUCAAACGCUGCUGUGUCUUGUCAGCGUUAACUACAGUGCGUCUGUUUCCAGCACCGUGGCAGCAACUAGGACAAGGCUUUCUUGCUGAACCUGUAUAGUGACACAGUCCACACAGCUUCACUUGCUGUCAUUGCCUUUGUUAGGGACAGUUUCAAAGGCAGCAUUCCAAAUCAGAGAUCCUAAGCCAGAGGACGAAACGCACACACGGAGUACUGGAACCAUGAUCUCAGGCACAUGGAUAUAAGAGCCAGGUCAUUGAGACGCCACCAGCGGAGAGCGCCCCUCCGGUACAUAGUUGUAUAUUCUUCGUUGUGGGUCCUUCUAGUUGUGGCAUGUGGGACGCUGCCUCAGCGUGGUUUGAUGAGAAGUGCCAUGUCCGUGCCCAGGAUUCGAACCAACGAAACACUGGGUCGCCUGCAGCGGAGUGCAUGAACUUAACCACUCAGCCACGGGGCCAGCCCCAAACAGGUUAAGAUUUCUUUGCAGUGCUUUCUUUUUUUUUUUUUUUGAGGAAGAUCAGCCCUGAGCUAACAUCUGCUGCCAAUCCUCCUCUUUUUGCUGAGGAAGACUGGCUCUGAGCUAACAUCCAUGCCCACUUCCUCUACUUUCUAUGUGGGAUGCCUGCCACAGCAUGGCUUGACAAGCGGUGCCAUGUCCACAAUGGGGAUCCGAACUGGUGAACCCAGGGCCGCCGAAGCAGAAUGUGUGCACUUAACUGCUGCACCACUGGGCCAGCUAGAAUAAGGUUUCUAAUAAACUUUCAGAUCGUAAAACUGAACUGGGUAAGAAAUUACAGAACUCUAACAGAGAAACUCAUGACCUCAUACAACUGCUAACAGAAGAUUAAGAUCACGAAUUGAUUACACAGGACUGAAUGAACUGAUGAGGAUGAUUAUGAUUUAUAGGACUUUUCAUUUGAGAUAUUGCUGAUUUUUUGAUGUUCUGUUUCCAGAUUUAAGGAAGUCUUUUCUCUUUUUCUCUCAUGCUAACUAUGACAUAUCAAUUUGAUAAAUUAUACCUUUGUAAGCAGAUUUGAAACGCUUAUUUUUCUCCCUGCCUGAUCCCUCCAGGAUUUGGAAACUCUUAAUGAGUGAGUAUCGUUUUCAUGGCAAUGUAGUUAUUUGCCAUAAGUUCAAUAAGAGUCUGUUCUCCUUAUAACAGGACACAAUUGGAAACAUUGGUUAUCUUACCAAGGCUUUGACUGGAAUGUCAUAUUUGAGAGAAACUGGCAUAGACUCAGAUAUGACCAGACAGCCUUUAAGAAACAAGGGUUGGACUUUGUGGAACAAAGCCACUUGGAAAUAUUGGCCUGGUACCUUGUUUACAAGGAUUCCAGGACCCCGGAAAUACUUCUUAUUAAAUACCUGGUUACUUGCUAACACAAUAUGGGCUGAACUUUGGGAGCCCACCUGCAUCACCGUCUCACUAAGGGACUGGUCCAAUGAGAUGGAACAACCUAUGCUCCUCACCAACAGGAUAACCCCUCAAGAUUGAAGAUGAACAACAAAAGGGGGGAUUGAUACGGGUUAACACAAGGUUAACAUAAGGGAAGCCAUAUUGUAAAGAAGAAACCAUAUUGUAACUUUGAAUGACCUCUGAUUAACUAACCCAGACAUGCUCUGUAGAUUUUAUGGACCCUGUCAGCUGCUAUAAUUUGAUAAGUUUGUUCUUUUGAGUUCCUUAGGAAUGUGAUGACCCCCAGGUAGAGAGUCUGUGCUGAUGGCCAUCAUCAUUGACAACUGAAAGAUCAGGGUAUAGGCCAUUGCUCUGGUCUCUGAUGCAUCUCCAGUAAAACAAAAGACUAUCAGAAACUGAGACCAGAUGUCUUCCCCACCUGGAGAACAGAUGGAGGCCCCACUGGGAUUAGGUCUAUUUUUCAGGGACUGUUAAAAUUUGGGUUGUCUAUACUUCUUGUCCUUCUGAUAAGCCAGGAACAUGAGAAUAUUUCCAAAUGAGUGCUAAAAAUGUCAUUCCUUUAACCCAGAUCUAUGCCCCAAUUGAGCAGGAAGUAGCUAGAUCGGUCAUCGCCCCAAAUCCCUCAAGAAUGAGAAGUGACCAAACAAUAGGGGGGAUUGAAACCAGCAAACAGCCAUUGAUGAUUAAGUAUCUAGGUACUAAAGUUUUUUCCUCUUUGCAGUUACUGAUUAUAGCUUUUAGCUGUUGAACCCAGCCAUUGGUAACUGUGCUGUUUAGGCAAUCUGCU
rnacentral:lncRNA from 1 species